GUUCCUGUAGAUGUCUGGUUUGAAGCUGCAGACUGAAACAUCUGUACAGUUUCAUUCAAAUCUCACAGACUCUGAGUCAGGUCGGUCUGUGCUGAACCUGUCCACUGAUCAAACGACUGGUCCACAGGAACCUGGGGAAGUCUGGACUCAGAGUGUCCUGCUUAGGCCUCGGAACCUGGGUGACCUUCGGAUCGCAGAUCUCCGACGAGAUGGCGGAGAGCGUGAUGACGCUGGCGUUCGACAGCGGCGUGAACCUGUUUGACACGGCUGAGGUCUACGCGUCGGGCAGGGCGGAGACGACGUUAGGAAACAUCCUGAGGAAGAAAGGUUGGAGGAGGUCCAGUUAUGUGGUGACCACCAAGAUCUACUGGGGAGGACAGUGAGUGCUGUGUACCUGUGUUACUGUGUACCUGUGUUACUGUGUACCUGUGUUACUGUGUACCUGUGUAACUGUGUACCUGUGUUACUGUGUACCUGUGUCACUGUGGUCCCACGAUCUUGUGAUCUUGUGGUCCAGUGAUCCUGUG